AGCCAGACUCCUACGGGAGGCAGCAGUGGGGAAUAUUGCACAAUGGGGGGAACCCCGAUGCAGCGACGCCGCGUGGGCGAGGAAGUAUUUCGGUAUGUAAAGCCCUAUCGGCAGGGAAGAAGAAAUGACGGUACCUGACUAAGAAGCCCCGGCUAACUACGUGCCAGCAGCCGCGGUAAUACGGAGGAUGCGAGCGUUAUCGGGUUUUAUUGGGUUUAAAGGGUGCGUAGGCGGGCUGUUAAGUCAGCGGGAAAUUGGGGGGGCUAACCCCCGGCCUGCCGUUGAAACUGGCGGCCUCGAGUGGGCGAGAAGUAUGCGGAAUGCGUGGUGUAGCGGUGAAAUGCAUAGAUAUCACGCAGAACUCCGAUUGCGAAGGCAGCAUACCGGCGCCCUACUGACGCUGAGGCACGAAAGCGUGGGUAUCGAACAGGAUUAGAUACCCCGGUAAC
rnacentral:rRNA from 1 species